GUCCUCUUAGUUUAAUGGAUAGAACCUGCGCCUCCGGAGCGCAAGAUAGCAGUUCGAUUCUGCUAGAGGGCACCA
rnacentral:tRNA from 1 species